rnacentral:tRNA from 1 species
GGUGACGUAGCUCAGCGGGUCAGAGCGCCGGCCUCAUAAGCCGGAGGUCGCGGGUUCGAGCCCCGCCGUCACCACCA